rnacentral:lncRNA from 1 species
UUGAAUUGAGUUUUCUGUACUCUGCCAAAAACAGAAAAGGGUUGAGGUUUACUAGAACCUUUGGAAAAUCUAGUGGGACAAAAGGGUAGAUCUAGGUGUUGAUCUAUUUGCCUUGUACUGUUGGUUUGUCUCUUACCCUUGAAAAGAGAUAACAUAGUUGAGGAUCUCAAGAUGCGUCUUGGGGAGUGGAUGUAGGCGAGUUAGUGCUGA